CCUACGGGAGGCAGCAGUGGGGAAUAUUGCACAAUGGGGGAAACCCUGAUGCAGCGACGCCGCGUGAGCGAUGAAGUAUUUCGGUAUGUAAAGCUCUAUCAGCAGGGAAGAAAAUGACGGUACCUGACUAAGAAGCCCAGGCUAACUACGUGCCAGCAGCCGCGGUAACACGUAGGGGGCGAGCGUUAUCCGGAUUUACUGGGUGUAAAGGGAGCGUAGACGGCGGUGCAAGUCAGAUGUGAAAGCCAGGGGCUCAACCCCGGGACUGCAUUUGGGACUGUGCUGCUAGAGUGUCGGAGGGGCAGGCGGAAGUCCUGGUGUAGCGGUGAAAUGCGUAGAUAUCAGGAGGAACACCAGUGGCGAAGGCGGCCUGCUGGACGAUAACUGACGUUGAGGCACGAAAGCGUGGGGAGCAAACAGGAUUAGAUACCCGAGUAGUC
rnacentral:rRNA from 1 species